UACCCCUGGCAAUGGGCAAGGAGACACCUUGUUGGUGGUGUUCAUGUAUCAGUCAGGGCAGAGCAGAUGGCAGCCCUUUGUUAAUCCUAGUUUGAUGCCUGGCUUGGUGGCCAAAGCUGCCUUAUGCCUAAGACUCAUAA